UACGGGGGGGGUAAGCGUUGUUCGGAAUUACUGGGCGUAAAGGGCUCGUAGGCGGCCAACUAAGUCAGACGUGAAAUCCCUCGGCUUAACCGGGGAACUGCGUCUGAUACUGGGUGGCUUGAAUCCGGGAGAGGGAUGCGGAAUUCCAGGUGUAGCGGUGAAAUGCGUAGAUAUCUGGAGGAACACCGGUGGCGAAGGCGGCAUCCUGGACCGGUAUUGACGCUGAGGAGCGAAAGCCAGGGGAGCAAACGGG
rnacentral:rRNA from 1 species